UACGUAGGGAGCAAGCGUUGUCCGGAAUCAUUGGGCGUAAAGCGCGCGUAGGCGGCCCUGUAAGUCCGUUGUGAAAGUCAAAGGCUCAACCUUUGAAAGCCGAUGGAUACUGCAGGGCUAGAGUCCGGAAGAGGCGAGUGGAAUUCCUGGUAUAGCGGUGGAAUGCGCAGAUAUCAGGAGGAACACCAAUAGCGAAGGCAGCUCGCUGGGACGGUACUGACGCUAAGGCGCGAAAGCGUGGGGAGCGAACAGG
rnacentral:rRNA from 1 species